rnacentral:rRNA from 1 species
AGCGAACGCUGGCGGUAUGCUUAACACAUGCAAGUCGAGCGCGAAAGUGACUUCGGUCAUGAGUAGAGCGGCGGACGGGUGAGUAACACGUGGAUAAUCUGCCUUUAGGACUGGGAUAACCCUGGGAAACUAGGGCUAAUACCGGAUAAGACCACAGGUUCCAUGGAACCAGGGGUAAAAGGCGGCCUUCGGGCUGUCGCCGAAAGAUGAGUCCGCGUCCCAUCAGGUAGUUGGUGAGGUAACGGCUCACCAAGCCGAAGACGGGUAGCCGACCUUAGCGGGUGAUCGGCCACACGGGGACUGAGACACGGCCCCGACUCCUACGGGAGGCAGCAGUGGGGAAGUCUUGGGCAAUGGGCGCAAGCCUGACCCAGCAAUACCGCGUGAGGGAUGAAGGCC